GCACAAGCGGUGGAGCAUGUGGUUUAAUUCGACGCAACGCGCAGAACCUUACCAGGGUUUGACAUCCUGUGCCCGCUGGUGAAAGCCAGUUUUCCCGCAAGGGACACAGAGACAGGUGCUGCAUGGCUGUCGUCAGCUCGUGUCGUGAGAUGUUGGGUUAAGUCCCGCAACGAGCGCAACCCUCGCCUUUAGUUGCCAUCAUUAAGUUGGGCACUCUAGAGGGACCGCCGGCGACAAGCCGGAGGAAGGUGGGGAUGACGUCAAGUCCUCAUGGCCCUUACACCCUGGGCUACACACGUGCUACAAUGGCGGUGACAGUGGGCAGCUACUUCGCGAGAAGCGGCUAAUCCCAAAAAACCGUCCCAGUUCAGAUUGCACUCUGCAACUCGAGUGCAUGAAGGUGGAAUCGCUAGUAAUCGCAGAACAGCAGGCUGCGGUGAAUACGUUCCCGGGC
rnacentral:rRNA from 1 species